rnacentral:rRNA from 1 species
UACGUAGGGUGCAAGCGUUAAUCGGAAUUACUGGGCGUAAAGCGUGCGCAGGCGGCUUUGCAAGACAGAUGUGAAAUCCCCGGGCUCAACCUGGGAACUGCAUUGGUGACUGCAUUGCUAGAGUAUGGCAGAGGGGGGUGGAAUUCCACGUGUAGCAGUGAAAUGCGUAGAGAUGUGGAGGAACACCGAUGGCGAAGGCAGCCCCCUGGGCCAAUACUGACGCUCAUGCACGAAAGCGUGGG